AACGCACCUUGCGCUCCUUGGUAUUCCGAGGAGCAUGCCUGUUUGAGUGUCAUGAAACUCUCAACCUUCAACUUUUUUUAUUAAGGCUGAAGGCUUGGACUUGAGCGCUGCUGGUUUUUACUAACCGGCUCGCUUGAAAUGAAUUAGCAGAUCCUUUUUGUAAUCGGUUCCACUCGACGUGAUAAGUAUUUCGCCGAGGACAUACGAAAGUAUGGCCGAGAUAAGGAAAGUCUUUAGAUCCGCUUCUAAUUCUUAGAUCAAGCUUGCUUGACUAAACCCCAUUUUAUGAUCUGGCCUCAAAUCAGGUAGGACUACCCGCUGAACUUAA
rnacentral:misc_RNA from 1 species